rnacentral:rRNA from 1 species
UCCAGUCUACAAUAGCGUACAUUAAAGUUGUUGUGGUUAAAAAGCUCGUAGUUGAACCUUGGGCCUGGCUGGCCGGUCCGCCUCACCGCAGUGUACUNGUCCGGCCGGGCCUUUCCCUCUGUGGAACCCCAUGCCCUUCACUGGGUGUGGCGGGGAAACAGGACUUUUACUGUGAAAAAAUUAGAGUGCUCCAGGCAGGCCUAUGCUCGAAUACAUUAGCAUGGAAUAAUAGAAUAGGACGUGUGGUUCUUUUUUGUUGGUUUCUAGGACCAUUCGUAAUGAUUAAUAGGGACGGUCGGGGGCAUCAUGUAUUCAUGUUGUCAGAGGUGAAAUUCUUGGAUUUACUGAAGACUAACUACUGCGAAAGCAUUUGCCAAGAGACGUUUUCAUUAAUCAAGAACGAAAGUUAGGGGAUCGAAGAUGAUCAGAAUACCGUCGUAGUCUUAACCAUAAAC